GGGAGCAAGGAGAAGGGGGGAGGAGGAACCGGCGGCGCCUUCCCCGCCCAGGUGGGGAAGGGACGGACCCGUCACCUGUCCCGGGAUACAGGACGAGAGGAGGGGGCUGCUCCUCUGGAAAGUGGGAGGAAGCACCGUCUUGUCACUCAGGCACAUAAAUAGGACAUAGAAGUGUCACUUGUCUGGGCUGGGAUCUCUCUGAGUAAAUCAUGAUUCAACAUACAAA